rnacentral:misc_RNA from 1 species
CGCACAUUGCGCCCUUUGGCAUUCCGAAGGGCAUGCCUGUUCGAGCGUCAUUAUCCACCCUCAAGCCCGGCUUGCUGUUGGGUUGCGCUGGGCGUUGAGCCCAGCGGACUCCAAAGAUAAUGACCGAGCCCGUGAGGGCCCCGGACGCAGCGAGCUCAUCAGCACGCGUCGCGGCGGUUCGACGGGGCUUGGCCUCAACCGAUGAUUUCUCUGGUUGACCUCGGAUCAGGUAGGGAUACCCGCUGAACUUAA